ACGUGUUCCGCCAGAUCGUUCCAUUGAAAAGUACAUCACUUACGUAGACGGCUUGUCACCACUGCCAAUCUGGGGCCUCCCGCGCGACCUUUCUGCCAUUGACGAAUCAGGAUUCGCUCGCAGAUACGCUAGAGCCAAGAGCUACGCCACAACGUCGUGGGUUUUGAUCAACUCGUUCGAAGAACUCGAGGGCAGUGCCACCUUCCAAGCCCUCCGAGACAUCUCUCCCAAAGCAAUCGCAGUGGGUCCUCUUUUCACCAUGGCCCCCGGCUGCAACAAGGCAAGCUUGUGGAAGGAAGACACCGAGAGUUUAUCCUGGCUCGGCAAGCAAAGUCCCGGCUCGGUUCUCUACAUUUCCUUGGGCAGCAUCGCGACCCUCAGCUUCGAUCAGUUCAAGGAGUUCUCCGAGGGACUGAGGCUUCUCCAGCGUCCGUUUAUCUGGGCCAUCCGACCCAAGUCGGUCGCCGGCAUGGAGCCCGAGUUCCUGGAGCGUUUCAAGGAGGCCGUGAGGAGCUUUGGACUGGUUGUGAGCUGGGCUCCUCAGGUGGACAUCCUCCGCCACCCUUCCACGGCUGGAUUUCUCAGUCACUGCGGCUGGAACUCCAUCCUCGAGAGCGUAGCAUCCGCGGUGCCCAUGCUUUGCUGGCCGUGCGUCGCGGAGCAGAAUCUAAACUGCAAGUUGAUAGUGGAGGACUGGAAGAUCGGUCUCAAGUUCUCGUGCGUGACCAUGCCGGAUCCUCCCGAGGUGAUGGCGAGGGACGAGUUUGUGGAGGUGGUGGAGCGAUUCAUGGGAACUGACAGUGAGCAUUUGAGGAUUAACGUGAAGAAGCUGAGCGAGGAGGCUCGUAGAGCAGUGUCUAGUGGUGGCUCCUCAUAUGAAAACCUGGAGAGAUUUGCUCAAGCAGUGAAAAUUUCCUAAACUUCAAUCCAAAGCUAAGAGAAAACUUCAAAGCAUCUACUCUAUUCAAGAAUAUACUACAGUUCUUUCUCUCUCUCUCUGAAGAUAAGCACGCGCUUUGCGCGUAUAAUGGGUUCCAAGGUCAAUGUUGUCGCAAUUCCUCUCCCAGCUCAAGGCCACAUCUCUCCACUCUUGCAUCUCUGCCAAGCUCUCACUUUCAUCCUUUGGGGGAUGCUAUCUCCAAAACACGCAACCAUGAGGGAAUGUGCUGGACUUUGUUACGUGCAAAAACCCAUGGCUAAUGUGCUAAUGUAGACUCUAAGGUGAUGCUUUAUAUCAGAAACUGAUGUGAGGAGAAGAAACUAAAGAAAAACAAAGAAAAAAUAAUAAUAAGAAAGAGAGUGUAAAGUUCUGGAGUCAAAGGGGAACCACAUGGGGAAACUUGAUAAAAGAAUUAAACACUAAAAAAUGGAAAAACAAAAAGUGAAAAAAACUAAAGAGCAAAGAACAGCUUAAAGAAAUACUAGCAAGAUUGGAAGAGCUCUAGAGGCCAGUUAGAAUGGCCAUUUGUCUCAAGUUGGUCCCUGGCAUAGAGCCCGAGUUCCUGGAGGCUUUCAAGGCUCUCCUUGCAAGUGAUCAGCUUUGGACAGGUUGUGAGCUGGGCUCCUCAACUGGAAAUCCUCCAGCAUCCUUCCACAGGCUGCGAGAGUGUAUCUUCAGCGGUGCCAAUCCUUUGCUGGCCAUGAGUUGCCAAGCAGAAUCUCAACUGCAAGCUUAUAGUGGAAGACUGGAAGAUCGAUCUUAAGUUCCCGCCCAUGAGAGAUCCUCGCAAGGUUUAGAUGUAAUGUGAAGGAGCUCAGCGAGGCUGCUCAGGGAGCAACAGUGAAAGAAGGCAGGAUCUUCAUAUGAAAGUUUGGACAAGUUUGUCAAGUUUCAUAAGGUAACUUAUAUCCAAUGCCGCAGCUGGUGGCAGGAGGAUCAUCGGGCAUGAGGGCGGGGCCAAUGCACAGACAGACCAACCACCAAGAGCACAUAAAGAUGAUACUUGAAAGUGUAUAGGUUGGUGGAAGUGUUAUUUUCCUUCCCAAAGAAAUAGAUGGCGUAAUCAAGAGGAGUAAAACAUUCCUGAAGGAGAACACUAGAUUAAAACAUUUGCAAAACGCACUGAUUCUUAAGCUCAGCCUUGGAGCGAUUUGAAGCUUAUCCAGAAAAGGUAUUGUGAGAAACGGCAGCACCUUCCAGAGCACUCACGAAGUAAGCUUGAAUUUUCUUUGUUCUUCGUCAAUGGGUUCUUCUACUGGUGCCGAGGGGCUCGCUCCUCAUGCAGCGGUUCUUCCCGUUCCAACCCAAGGCCACAUCACUCCAUUCCUCCAUCUCUCCAGAGCGCUGGCGUCGCGAGGCUUCGUCAUAACUUUCAUCAACACGGAGGCCAACCACAGGGACUUGAAGGACAUCGUUUCGCAGGAGGAGAGCUUUGGCUAUGGCGGCGGCAUUCGCUUCGAGACGGUCCCGGGCAUCCAAGCGAGCGACGUCGACUUCGCGGUCCCGGAGAAGCGGGGGAUGUUGUCCGAGGCAGUGAUGGAGAUGCAAGCUCCAGUGGAAAGCUUGCUCAUCAGGAACAUGGCCAGAGACGAUGAUCUCGUUCCUCCGGUCUCGUGCUUCAUCUCGGAUAUGUUCCCGUGGUCCGCGGAAGUAGCAAGAAGGACUGGAAUCCCAGAGGUCAAGUUCUGGACCGCCAGUGCCUCUUGCGUUUUGCUCGAUUGCUCGUUUCCGCGAAUGCUGGAGAAGGGAGACGUUCCAGUCCAAGGUAAAGCUUCUUUCUUCUUUUUUAUUUGUCCUUCACUAACGUGUUCCGCCAGAUCGUUCCAUUGAAAAGUACAUCACUUACGUAGACGGCUUGUCACCACUGCCAAUCUGGGGCCUCCCGCGCGACCUUUCUGCCAUUGACGAAUCAAGAUUCGCUCGCAGAUACGCUAGAGCCAAGAGCUACGCCACAACGUCGUGGGUUUUGGUCAACUCGUUCGAAGAACUCGAGGGCAGUGCCACCUUCCAAGCCCUCCGAGACAUCUCUCCCAAAGCAAUCGCAGUGGGUCCUCUUUUCACCAUGGUCCCCGGCUCCAACAAGGCAAGCUUGUGGAAGGAAGACACCGAGAGUUUAUCCUGGCUCGGCAAGCAAAGUCCCGGCUCGGUUCUCUACAUUUCCUUGGGCAGCAUGGCGACUCUCAGCUUCGAUCAGUUCAAGGAGUUCUCCGAGGGACUGACGCUUCUCCAGCGUCCGUUUAUCUGGGCCAUCCGACCCAAGUCGGUCGCCGGCAUGGAGCCCGAGUUCCUGGAGCGUUUCAAGGAGGCCGUGAGGAGCUUUGGACUGGUUGUGAGCUGGGCUCCUCAGGUGGACAUCCUCCGCCACCCUUCCACGGCUGGAUUUCUCAGUCACUGCGGCUGGAACUCCAUCCUCGAGAGCGUAGCAUCCGCGGUGCCCAUGCUUUGCUGGCCGUGCGUCGCGGAGCAGAAUCUAAACUGCAAGUUGAUAGUGGAGGACUGGAAGAUCGGUCUCAAGUUCUCGUGCGUGACCAUGCUGGAUCCUCCCGAGGUGAUGGCGAGGGACGAGUUUGUGGAGGUGGUGGAGCGAUUCAUGGGAACUGACAGUGAGCAUUUGAGGAUUAACGUGAAGAAGCUGAGCGAGGAGGCUCGUAGAGCAGUGUCUAGUGGUGGCUCCUCGUAUGAAAACCUGGAGAGAUUUGCUCAAGCAGUGAAAAUUUCCUAAACUUCAAUCCACGGCUAAGAGAAAACUUCAAAGCAUCUACUCUACUCAAGAAUAUACUACUCUUUCUCUCUCUCUCUGAAGAUAAGCACGCGCUUUGCGCGUAUAAUGGGUUCCAAGAUCAAUGUUGUGGCGAUUCCUUUCCCCUCUCCACUCUUGCAUCUCUGCCAAGCUCUCACUUUCAUCCUUUGGGGGAUGCUAUCUCGAAAACACGCAACCACGAGGGAAUGUGUUAGACUUUGUCAUGUGCAAGAACCCAUGGCUAAUGUGUUAAUGUAGACUCCAAGGUGAUGCCUUAUGUCAGAAACUGCUGCGAGGAAAAGAAACUAAAGAAAAACAAAGAAAAAAUAAUAAGUGUAAAGUUCUGGAGUUAAAAAGGAAUCACAUGAGGAAACUUGAUAAAAGAAUUAAACACUAAAAAAUGAAAAAACAAAGUGAAAAAAGCUGAAGAGUAAGGAACAGCUUAUAGAAAUACUAACAAGAUUGGAAGAGCUCUAGAGGCCAGUUAUAAUGGCCAUUUGUCUCAAGUUGGUCCCUGGCAUAGAGCCCGAGUUCCUGGAGGCUUUCAAGGCUCUCCUUGAAAGUGAUCAGCUUUGGAUUGGUUGUGAGCUGGGCUCCUCAACUGGAAAUCCUCCAGCAUCUUUCCACAAGCUGCGAGAGUGUAUCUUCAGCAGUGCCAAUCCUUUGCUGGCCAUGAGUUGCCAAGCAGAAUCUCAACUGCAAGCUUAUAGUGGAAGACUGGAAGAUCGAUCUUAAGUUCUCGCCCAUGAGAUAUCCUCGCAAGGUGGUGGCAGGGACGAGUUUGUGGAGGUGGUGGAGCAACUCAUGGGAGCUGCGAGUGGCAAUUCCUUUAGAUGUAAUGUGAAGGAGCUCAGCGAGGCUGCUCAGGGAGCAACAGUGAAAGAAGGCAGGAUCUUCAUAUGAAAGUUUGGACAAGUUCGUCAAGUUUCAUAAGGUAAUUUAUAUCCAAUGCCGCAGCUGGUGGCAGGACGAUCAUCGGGCAUGAGGGCGGGGCCAAUGCACAGACAGACCAACCACCAAGAGCACAUAAAGAUGAUACUUGAAAGUGUAUAGGUUGGUGGAAGUGUUAUUUUCCUUCCCAAAGAAAUAGAUGGCGUAAUCAAGAGGAGUAAAACAUUCCUGAAGGAGAACACUAGAUUAAAACCUUUGCAAAACGCACUGAUUCUUAAGCUCAGCCUUGGAGCGAUUUCAAGCUUAUCCAGAAAAGGUAUUGUGAGAAACGGCAGCACCUUCCAGAGCACUCACGAAGUAAGCUUGAAUUUUCUUUGUUCUUCGUCAAUGGGUUCUUCUACUGGUGCCGAGGGGCUCGCUCCUCACGCAGCGGUUCUUCCCAUUCCAACGCUACGCCACAUCACUCCAUUCCUCCAUCUCUCCAGAGCUCUGGCCUCGCGAGGCUUCGUCAUAACUUUCAUCAACACGGAGGGCAACCACAGGGACUUGAAGGACAUCGUUUCACAGGAGGAGAGCUUUGGCUAUGGCGGCGGCAUUCGCUUCGAGACGGUCCCGGGCAUCCAAGCGAGCGACGUCGACUUCGCGGUCCCGGAGAAGCGGGGGAUGUUGUCCGAGGCAGUGAUGGAGAUGCAGGCUCCAGUGGAAAGCUUGCUCAUCAGGAACAUGGCCAGAGACGAUGAUCUCGUUCCUCCGGUCUCGUGCUUCAUCUCGGAUAUGUUCCCGUGGUCCGCGGAAGUAGCAAGAAGGACUGGAAUCCCAGAGGUCAAGUUCUGGAUCGCCAGUGCCUCUUGCGUUUUGCUCGAUUGCUCGUUUCCGCGAAUGCUGGAGAAGGGAGACGUUCCAGUCCAAGGUAAAGCUUCUUUCUUCUUUUUUAUUUGUCCUUCUUUCGAGAAGCACUAACGUGUUCCGCCAGAUCGUUCCAUUGAAAAGUACAUCACUUACGUAGACGGCUUGUCACCACUGCCAAUCUGGGGCCUCCCGCGCGACCUUUCUGCCAUUGACGAAUCAAGAUUCGCUGGCAGAUACGCUAGAGCCAAGAGCUUCGCCACAACGUCGUGGGUUUUGGUCAACUCGUUCGAAGAACUCGAGGGCAGUGCCACCUUCCAAGCCCUCCGAGACAUCUCUCCCAAAGCAAUCGCUGUGGGUCCUCUUUUCACCAUGGCCCCCGGCUGCAACAAGGCAAGCUUGUGGAAGGAAGACACCGAGAGUUUAUCCUGGCUCGG
rnacentral:lncRNA from 1 species